AUUGAACGCUGGCGGCAGGCCUAACACAUGCAAGUCGAGCGAGCGGCGGACGGGUGAGUAAUGUAUGGGGAUCUGACCGAGGGAGGGGGAUAACUAAUGGAAACGGUGGCUAAUACCGCAUACUAUAGGCUGAGCCCAUAUGGGAUUAGCUAGUAGGUGGGGUAAAGGCUCACCUAGGCGACGAUCGGUAGCUGGUCUGAGAGGAUGAUCAGCCACACUGGGACUGAGACACGGCCCAGACUCCUACGGGAGGCAGCAGUGGGGAAUAUUGCACAAUGGGCGCAAGCCUGAUGCAGCCAUGCCGCGUGUAUGAAGAAGGCCUUAGGGUUGUAAAGUACUUUCAGCGGGGAGGCGUUACCCGCAGAAGAAGCACCGGCUAACUCCGUGCCAGCCGCCGCGGUAAUUC
rnacentral:rRNA from 1 species